AUUCCAGCUCCAAUGGCGUAUAUUAAAGUUGAUGCAGUUAAAAAGCUCGUAGUUGGAUUUCUGAUCUGAGCGUCCGGUCCGCCGCUGUGCGGUGUGUACUUGGUUCGACUCGGAUCUUCCUUGCAGGGAAUGUGUCUGGCCUUAAUUGGUCGGGUUCGGGAACUGCAUCGUUUACUGUGAAAAAAUUAGAGUGUUUAAAGCAGGCAUUUGCUGUGAAUACAUUAGCAUGGAAUAAUAAGAUAGGACUUUGGUUCUAUUUUGUUGGUUGGAGGCCAAGGUAAUGAUUAAUAGGGAUAGUUGGGGGUAUUCAUAUUUAAUUGUCAGAGGUGAAAUUCUUGGAUUUAUGAAAGAUGAACUUAUGCGAAAGCAUUUACCAAGGAUGUUUUCAUUA
rnacentral:rRNA from 1 species